UGUCCCAAUUUUCUUCGACCCUUUAACCUAUUUUAAAUUUGUUGGCCUAAAUAUCCCGAAAUGCCCAGCAGCAGUUUACACUGAACUUCAAUCGUCGCCGGUAAUUCUCUUCCGCCUCCGCUGCUCAGAAUCCCUUCGUUUUCGGCCUUCGUCAUCUCAUUCACCUGCUGCUCACACUCGCCACUCCCAAGCAAUCUACUCUCACUCUUCUUCUUCACCUUUCUCCCUCUCAUUUGUCUGUUGACAACACUCCUCUCCCCAUUUCCACACGCUAUUGAAGUAAAUUGAAGUUUGAAGUUGCUAUUCAUCACUUUCAAAUGGAAGAAUCUCCCACCCUUGGCAAGCGGAAAGACUCUGAAGAAGAAUCAGCUGUCGCAGAAACUGGCAACAACCAAGAAACGAGCUCCAAUAAGCGACCCAAGGAAUCGAAAAACCUGGAAGAUGAGAAGGCAACUCCGAGUCAGGAAACUGUCUCCAACCGACGCAGUUUAGCGCGGACUUGCGUUCAUGAAGUAGCGGUCCCGGCUGGGUACUCUUCUACAAAAGACGAGUCGAUUCAUGGAACCCUAUCAAAUCCAGUUUACAAUGGUACAAUGGCGAAAACGUACCCGUUUACACUCGACCCAUUUCAGCAGGUAUCGGUUUCUUGCUUAGAACGAAAUGAAUCUAUUUUGGUUUCUGCUCACACUUCAGCUGGAAAAACUGCGGUUGCUGAAUAUGCAAUUGCAAUGGCUUUUAGAGACAAGCAGAGGGUUAUAUAUACUUCCCCACUGAAGGCUUUGAGUAAUCAGAAGUAUAGGGAACUGAGUCAAGAGUUUAAAGAUGUGGGACUGAUGACUGGGGAUGUUACUCUUUCGCCUAAUGCUAGUUGUUUAGUCAUGACGACGGAGAUACUUAGGGGGAUGCUUUACAGGGGUUCGGAAGUUUUGAAGGAAGUAGCAUGGGUAAUUUUUGAUGAAAUUCAUUAUAUGAGAGAUCGGGAAAGAGGUGUUGUUUGGGAAGAGAGUAUAAUAUUUUUACCACCGGCUAUCAAGAUGGUCUUCCUUUCUGCAACAAUGUCCAAUGCCACGGAGUUUGCUGAGUGGAUAUGUAAUAUACACAAGCAGCCUUGUCAUGUGGUGUACACUGAUUUUCGACCAACUCCCUUGCAACAUUAUGUUUUUCCUGCGGGUGGCAAUGGGUUGUAUCUUGUGGUUGAUGAAAAUGAACAGUUCAGGGAGGAUAAUUUUCUGAAGUUGCAGGAUACAUUUGCUAAACAAAAACAGAUUGUUGGCCACAGGACUGCAAAUGGGAAAUCUAGUGGGAGAAUUGCUAAAGGUGGCAGUGCUUCUGGAGGUUCGGACAUUUAUAAAAUUGUUAAGAUGAUUAUGGAGCGGAAUUUCCAACCAGUCAUUGUCUUCAGUUUCAGUAGAAGAGAAUGUGAACAACAUGCAAUGUCCAUGUCCAAACUUGACUUUAAUACCCAAGAAGAAAAGGACAUGGUGGAACAUAUUUUCAGAAAUGCAAUUCUUUGCUUGAAUGAAGAAGAUAGAGAACUGCCUGCAAUUGAGUUAAUGUUACCUCUUCUCCAAAGAGGUAUUGCUGUUCAUCAUUCUGGGCUUCUUCCAGUAAUUAAAGAAUUAGUUGAGCUCCUUUUUCAGGAAGGUCUUGUUAAGGCCCUUUUUGCCACAGAAACUUUUGCCAUGGGUCUGAACAUGCCAGCAAAAACAGUUGUCUUCACUGCCUUUAAAAAGUGGGAUGGUGAUAGUCACCGAUUUAUUGGAUCUGGUGAGUACAUUCAGAUGAGUGGAAGGGCUGGACGCCGUGGAAAAGAUGAGAGGGGUAUAUGUAUUAUAAUGAUCGAUGAGCAGAUGGAGAUGGGAACAAUUAAAGAUAUGAUUUUGGGCAAACCAGCUCCUCUUGUUAGUACGUUCAGACUGAGCUACUACUCAAUUUUAAAUUUAAUGAGCCGGGCAGAAGGCCAGUUUACAGCUGAGCAUGUUAUUAGACACUCAUUUCAUCAGUUUCAGCACGAGAAGGCAUUGCCUGAUAUUGGGAAAAGAGUGUCAAAGUUAGAGGAGGAAGCUGCCACACUUGAUGCUUCAGGGGAGGCCGAAGUUGCUGAAUACCACAAGUUAAAACUUGAUAUAGCACAACUUGAGAAGAAGAUGAUGUCUGAAAUAACAAGGCCAGAAAGAGUCCUCUAUUUUCUUCUUCCUGGUCGAUUGGUUAAGGUAAGAGAAGGUGGGACAGAUUGGGGUUGGGGAGUUGUAGUCAAUGUUGUUAAAAAGCCUUCAGCUGGGUUAGGCAUCUUGCCUUCACGUGGUGGUGCAUAUAUAGUGGAUACCUUACUCCAAUGCUCUCCUUGUCUAAGCGAGAAUAAUUCACGACCAAAACCUUGUCCACCCCGUCCUGGAGAAAAGGGUGAAAUGCACGUGGUCCCAGUUCAGCUGCCUCUAAUUUCAGCCUUGAGCAAACUCAGAAUAUCUAUUCCUUCUGAUCUCAGACCCGUGGAAGCAAGGGAAAGUAUACUGCUCGCAUUGGAAGAGCUGGGCACUCGUUUUCCACAAGGUUUUCCGAAAUUGAAUCCAGUCAAGGACAUGAGUAUAGAAGAUCCAGAAAUUGUUGAGUUGGUGAAUCAGAUCGAGGAACUUGAGCGGAAAUUAUAUGCUCAUCCUCUGCAUAAGUCACGUGAAGUGGACCAGAUGAAAUGUUUUCAGAGGAAAGCAGAGGUUAAUCAUGAAAUUCAAAUACUCAAGACCAAAAUGCGUGAUUCUCAGCUUCAAAAAUUUCGUGAUGAACUGAAGAAUCGUUCUCGGGUCUUGAAAAAGCUUGGUCACAUUGAUGCUGAUGGUGUAGUUCAAUUGAAGGGGCGUGCAGCCUGCUUGAUCGACACAGGAGACGAGCUCCUUGUUACUGAAUUAAUGUUUAAUGGGACAUUCAAUGACCUAGAUCAUCAUCAGAUUGCAGCCCUCGCAAGUUGUUUUAUACCAGGAGACAAGUCAAAUGAGCAGAUUCAAUUAAGAACCGAGCUUGCUAGACCGUUACAGCAACUCCAAGAUAGUGCAAGAAGAAUAGCUGAGAUACAACAUGAAUGCAAGUUGGAUAUAAAUGUGGAAGAAUAUGUGGAAUCAACAGUAAGGCCGUAUUUGAUGGAUGUCAUUUACUGUUGGUCAAAGGGAUCAAGUUUCUCAGAGGUGAUUCAAAUGACAGAUAUUUUCGAGGGUAGCAUCAUUCGAAGCGCUAGACGGCUUGAUGAAUUCUUGAAUCAGUUGCGUGCUGCUGCCAAUGCUGUGGGGGAGGUAACCUUAGAGAGCAAGUUUUCUGCAGCCAGUGACAGCCUCCGCAGAGGUAUAAUGUUCGCAAACUCACUCUAUUUAUAGAUUGUCCUCUGCUUUGGUUGCAUCUUCAGGGGUUCAUGAAGCUCGGAGAUUGUGGUUUUCACCAACCAUCUUUCAUAGAGGUGUGGGCAGAAAAUGGAAGAUGCAAAUUCUUUUAGUAUGCUUUGGCGACACAUGCGGGUCGGGUCAACUAGGUAAUGCAUCAAAUCUUUUGAAUUGUGUCGUGCAAUGGAUAGGUCAUUCUCAUCUUCUUCCUCACAUGAGUCACCUUCUUCAACUUUCAAUUUGACCUCUUGUAUAUUGUCAUCUAUUCCACUCAAAAACCAAUUUUUUUUUUUUCAAUUUCGAACAUAUCAUCUACCACGUUGUUUCGUGGUCGACUACAAUUAGGGUUUGGAACCUUUUCGAAGUAAGAUGGCCAUGGGUAUAGUUUUCUUCUGCUUAUGUCAUGUCUUUGCUCUCCACCACCAAUUUCAUUAAUCGAUUGUUCCUCCUCGUCCGGUUCAUGUUGUGCAAUCUCAAAGUUAAUCUCAUUGGUUUUUUUAUCCUUGCUGUCGACAAUUCUUCAAUUUUCUUUUUGUACGGUUGGUCUUCAUUUUUGCAAUGGAUUUCUUUUCCAUUCGUUUCUUGCUCGAUUUCGUAGCCCCAUUGGAUGGAUUCUUGAUUUUCUUGCAUUAAUUCUUUUUCAAGUUCUUGCAAAUGUUCAGAAAGGUGCUCCACGUUUUGAGUCGUCUCUCCCAACAAAUGUUGGAUUUUCUUGGCUCCCUUUUUCAUUUUCUCCAAUAUUUCGGGAUCGAUGUACAAAUUGGAUGUUCUUGAAUAAGUUUCUUCAUGAAAAUUGUUGUAGGACCGAUUUUUGAAUUUUCUCGAACAUGUUUUGAACCUUGGUCGUUCUUCAUAGCACGGAUAGUAAUUUCGGUCCAAAAUGCAUUAGAUCUUCUAUAAAAUUCCAUUCUUGAAUGAUUCUUCAAGCUUCUUCUAAAUUUUCUUGAAUUUAAAGGGUUCCCCCUAGUUAGGCGUGUGUUGUUUGGUAAUGAGCACAACUCACAAAAAUUCCUCUUACGAUCAGCGUCACCAAGAGUUUCCUGGACUUCCACCGGCGACAGUCAGUUCAGCCCAAAUUGGACGCUCUAAUACCAAUUUGAUGUAGCCUAAAGGAGAGAAAAGGAGAGUUCACUCCAAGAAUCACAUCAAGAGUCUUUUUAUUAAUGAGAAUAUGUUCUAAUACAAGGAGGCUCUCUCUAUUUAUAGAGAAUUACAAGAGUUCCAAAACGACAACUAAAAGAGAUUAAAACUAAAUUAGUAAUUAAAAUAUAAUUAAUCAAGGAUUAACCAAGAUUAACUUGAUUUUACCAAAAUAUCCCUAUCCUAUUACAUCAAAGCUUCUAGGUUUUGGUUUUUGAAAAUUAAACUUAUAAAUACUACUUCUAGUAUUCCACCUAUAAGUUUCUUUUUUUUCUUUCUUUUUUCUUUUUUCUUUUUCUUUUUGUCGUCGUCUUCUUUUUUUUUUUAUUAUUUUUUUAUUUUUUUAUUUUUAAAUUUACUUUCUAUCGAUGUUAUAAAAAAUCAAGCAAAGUUUUGGAAAAAAAGGUAGCUUCCAAGAACUUGUUAUUUUUUUUAGAAUUUAACCAAGAAUUUGAAGUGUUUCUUAAUUGAAAAUUGGGAGGAAACAAGUAUAAUGAUUUUGUUUUUAAAUUUUCUAUUAGACUACUUUUUACAUUUUACACUUUUUUGUUUGGUUAAUGAGAAACCAAGCUUUCAUUGAGAAACAAUGAAAGAGUAUAAGAGCAUGCAAAAAAGAAAGCUCACAAAAAAAGACAUAGAUAGCCUAAAGAAUGACUCCAAUCAUGCAAAAUAAUUUCUAUGGAGUAAUUGCAAAAAAGUUCGGUAGGAAACACGUAACAUAGAAAGGAUCAAACAUCGUUUGGAUGAUGCUUCAGCCCUCUAAAGGUCUUAAUGUUCCUCUCCUCUCACCCCAAAGUUCUCACAAAAUACACACACUCGCUUGUCACAAAAAACUUUCCUUUUUAUCAAAAGGUAGGAUGAAAAAGGAACUCCUCGAUCAUCUCUUUGCAGUCUUGAUGUCUAGCCAAUUCAAUACCAAACUUCUCAGAGAAACGGGCCCCAACAACAUAAGCAAAAUCACAACUCCAGAGCAUAUGAUCAAAAUUCUAUUGCAAAGAAUGCAAUACCACGACCCUAUCAAAUUAGGCAACUUCCUUGACACCCUGUCCGAGGCACUAACCCUUCCAUGGAGGACUUGCGGAACAGAUCUUUCAAGGGAGAAGGGUUAACCAAACAAAGGAAGAAGGAUUUACGUGAAAAGUCUUCCUUAGGGAUUGGACACCAAUAGUAAAAGUCCUUUCCCUUCUCCCAAGAGAACACUGAAACUUCCCCAACAAAGAGAGGAGGGGAAUAAUAUCCCUCGUUUCCCUCUAAAGACAACGAACACUGACGGACUCUAAAGCAGAGGCAGGCUGCAUUGACAUAACAGAAUGAGUCUUCAUCGAUGAAAAAUAGUAUAAACAACUAAAAGUAGAGUAGAGAUUCCCCAACCACCCAUCUUCCUAUAAAAACUUUCCCAUCCCCAAAACAGUAAAACAGAGACAAAAAGGGAUUCCCCAAGCAGGGCCUGGUUGCGGGCUCUCAAAUUAUCUAUACCUAAACCCCAAAGAUCCACAGGCUUUGAAACCUCUGCCCAUACAUUUUGAGCACUCGUGAAAUCUUAACCAAUGUCAAAACCACUAAAUGAAAAUUUGAAAAAAAAAACUUCUGUUUUAAAGUUUCACUAGGGUCUAACAGAUAUUUUUAGAAGUUGAUUAUUGAACAAAAAAAAAUGUUAUGAAUGUACAAUAUUUAAAAGCAAAAAGAUUAUCAGACCACCACUAUUUUGGAAACCUUGAAUGUGCUUAAGCUUUCUGUUUGAAAUGAAUACCACUGUGUGUCCAUUACUCUAACCGUUCACAAAUUAGAUGGCUUACUUGAAACUUUCAUUGAGAAACAAUCAACUUUUAUGGUGUGUAGACAUUCUCGGUAGUUUUUUCAUAUUUCAGUUUUAUAGUUGUCUAGAAUUAUGUUAUGAAGAUCUUACCGAGAAAAAGGUUUUGUUCUGAUGAAUUGGUUGUGUUGGAUAUUUGGAGAAGCAUUUAUCUCUGAUAGACUGAAUCACUGGAUUUAAUGGAAAUUAUAUAUUUUUAUUUCCUCGUGACUCUUUCUUCAAUAAUAUUUUCUGUGAUUUAAAACAUUACAGUCCCCCCACCCAAAAAAAAAAAAAAAAAAAAAA